UAUUGAUUGCGAAUCGUUGUCUCCAGUGCUGGCCAGCUCGCCUGGCAAGUGCACGUUGGCAGCUUUCAUCCAAUACCCUUGUGCACCUUUGGCCUCUUGCGAGCUUCGGCGAGCAGAGGAUUUUUACACCGACUCGAAUGUAAUGAGAUUAUUGUUGUGCACACGCACUACUAUACAACUUUCAACAACGGAUCUCUUGGCUCUCGCAUCGAUGAAGAACGCAGCGAAAUGCGAUAAGUAAUGUGAAUUGCAGAAUUCAGUGAAUCAUCGAAUCUUUGAACGCACCUUGCGCCCCUUGGUAUUCCGAGGGGCACACCCGUUUGAGUGUCGUGAAUACUCUCAACCUUCUUGGUUUCUUUGACCACGAAGGCUUGGACUUUGGAGGUUUUUCUUGCUGGCCUCUUUUGAAGCCAGCUCCUCCUAAAUGAAUGGGUGGGGUCCGCUUUGCUGAUCCUCGACGUGAUAAGCAUUUCUUCUACGUCUCAGUGUCAGCUCGGAACCCGCUUUCCAACCGUCUUUGGACAAAGACAAUGUUCGAGUUGUGACUCGACCUUACAAACCUUG
rnacentral:misc_RNA from 1 species